rnacentral:sRNA from 1 species
UUUAGUUCAGAGUGGUGCAGUAUUCUAGUCAGCACAGCUAUUCUCGAAGGCGGGGCUAAAAAUCCGUCAAAGGGCAUAUCGAUGAAGUUUCUAACCUUGGCUUUUGACGCCCAGUUGAGGGCCAUUGUUGGAAGUAAGAAAGAUGGGGCGAUCUGCAAUGGCAUGCAGGCGUUGACCCUACUUUCGUGGAGACUUGUUUUUAAUUAAAAAACAAGAUAAACCUGUAAAGUAAUAAAAAUUACUUGCAGUGUAGCCUGCCUUGAGUGAAUUGGGCAGAAGAUAAUAUAUAACUAGGCUUUUCAAGGGGCCCAGAAAAGUCAGGUUUUGUUGUCGAAACCCAUUUUGCAAAAGAGGCUAAGGAAUAGACUGACUGUUUGGGGAAAACUCCUAGACUGUUCUUCAGAAAUAUGUUAAGGAUUACAGUGCGGUCUAAGUGGUAAUCUAGUUUCACUAUUUGGCGACAAUGUGAAGAUAAGAUUGAAGGGUAACCGCUAGUAUGGCGACAUAGAGUUCUUAUCUGGGAAAUCCUGCUAGACCUUAAGCCGUAAGAUUUACUUAUCAUAUUGCCACUCAAAA